rnacentral:rRNA from 1 species
UACGAAGGGGGCUAGCGUUGUUCGGAAUUACUGGGCGUAAAGCGCGCGUAGGCGGACUGGUCAGUUGGGGGUGAAAUCCCGGGGCUCAACCUCGGAACUGCCUCCAAUACUGCCAGUCUCGAGUCCGGAAGAGGUGAGUGGAAUUCCCAGUGUAGAGGUGAAAUUCGUAGAUAUUAGGAAGAACACCAGUGGCGAAGGCGGCUCACUGGUCCGGUACUGACGCUGAGGUGCGAAAGCGUGGGGAGCAAACAGG